rnacentral:rRNA from 1 species
UACAGAGGUCUCAAGCGUUGUUCGGAUUCAUUGGGCGUAAAGGGUGCGUAGGUGGCGCUGUAAGUCAGGUGUGAAAUUUCGGAGCUUAACUCCGAAACUGCAUUUGAUACUGCGGUGCUCGAGGACUGGAGAGGAGACUGGAAUUUACGGUGUAGCAGUGAAAUGCGUAGAGAUCCGGAGGAACACCAGUGGCGAAGGCGACACGCUGGGUCACACCUGACGCUAAAGCGCGACAGCAUGGGGAGCGAACGGG